GAUAGGCUUAAAACUCAAAUUCCUAACUUUCUUUUUUUUUACUUACUUUUCAAGUUCGGCCCUCCCCCCUCCCAAAAAAUUUUGGCUGCCGCAAACCUCCACCCAGUAUCAAUUUUUGCCAACAAUCUCCCCCUCCCACUGAUUUCCCCCUUCACCCUUCACUUCAGCGACCCUUUCCUCACUGGUUUUGAAGAGCCACAACAUCUCCCUCCGUCCACCCUUUCACUUUCGGCGUGACCCCCUAAGCAAAUAAAUCUCUCAUCGUGAGCCCUCUCAUCUCUCCAGAUAAGAUUGUGAAUAAGAAUGCAGAUCCACUCUCCAACAAACAUGAAUCAUCUAAUGAUGCAUUGAUUCAAGCUUUGGGUACUUCAAAAUAUGGUGGCCGAGUGGUGUCGGUGGUUCCAUUACACCUACUGUUUAUUUUCACAAAGGAAAACCAAGAAUGUUAAAAAAGGUGGAUACAACCAAACAAAUCAUGAAUGAAAAUGAAGCACUCUAUAAACGCAUUCGAAAAUUGGAAGAGUAAGUUCAAAACAUGCCAACAUUCGAGCAUGGUAAUUGCUCCAAGAAUAAAAUCCAGAAGAAGGAGAGAGUUUCAAAGAAGAUGGUAAAAGAGACGAAAGUUAUCAAUGUACCUUUAACGCUCCAAAAAUUAAGGUACAUGCAAUGCUUUAGAAAUGGAUGAUAGCGGUCAUUUCAAGUUUUGCUUUAUGGCUUUUGGUGCAUCAAUUGAGGGGUGGAAAUAUUGUAAACCUAUCAUUUUUGUUGAUGGAAUGCUUUUGAAGUGUAAGUUUGGUGGCAUCCUAUUAACAACCUCAUCACAAGAUGAGAAACACUAUUAGCAACAUACAGUUGUUGUAUUCAACAUGUUGGGACUCAUUUGGAUUGGAGAGUUGAAGAUGUCGUCAUGAAAACAUUACCUCCAGUCUUUAAACGUCAAGCUGGAAGACCAAGAAAACAAAGAAUUCCAUCUACCAACUAUAAUUAUAAAGGGCAUAAUAGUAGAACUUGCAAGCAAAGUUUGAACAAUUAAUGAAAAUGUGUGAUUUUUUCCUUCAUUCUAAUACAUGUAUGCAGAAACGCUAUCAGCAACAUACAGUUGUUGUAUUUAACCUGUUGGAACUCAUUUGGAUUGGAGAGUUGAAGAUGUCGUCAUGAAAACAUUACCUCCAGUCUUUAAACGUCAAGCUGGAAGACCAAGAAAACAAAGAAUUCCAUCUGUCAACUAUAAUUGUAAAGGGAAUAAUAGUAGAACUUGCAAGCAAAGUUUAAACAAUUAAUGAAAAUGUGUGAUUUUUUUCCUUCAUUCUAA